GCGUUCAGAAACUCUGUGUCCACAGUCCAGUGCCACCGCUGCUGCGAAAGUGAAAAAAUCUCAGGGACCCAGCGUUGUUGCGUGCUUCCGUUCCACGCCACCGCUGUUUCCCCGGCUGCACGCAGACAUUUUGAUCGACCGGUCACGUUCGCCGCCGGCCCUGCGGCCCACCGCCGCUGCCCCGCGGGCCCCAGGCCGCCAGCCCCGCAUUGUGUGUGAGUGCUUCUGUAUUCUUUCUCAACCCCCGCGCGCUGCAUUUUGCCAGCCGAGCGCAUCCUCCGGGAUGAGGUCAUUUGUGCACUCUUUGAAGGGAAAGAAGGAUGUCUCCUCAUCUUCAAGGAGUUAGGCAAAGAAGAAUGAUGGCUCCACAUCUUCGGAUAGGUCUUCUCUCUUUAGAGGCAGCAGUUCUCACCUCAGUCAAAGAAGUGCAAUUCAGCGAUGUCUAGACGAGGCUCAGCAACAAGAAGGGGAAGGUAGGGGUGCGGAGGAGGAAGAACAUGUUGCGAAUGUGGAUGGCGAUGGAGAUGGAGGUGGAGAGGGAGAUGGGUGCGAGGACAGAGAAGAGUGCGAGGAGAGAGAUGGGAGGAUACUGCUGCUCAACCUAUGUUCAAAUUUAGAGGCAACAUUGUGAUGACUCCUAUAGCAAUCAAUCCGGCAAAUCGUCGACAGAUUAGGCCACAUGGGGAUUGGCAGUGGGACGACAUUUGUUGGGAGGGAAGAAAUAGGUUAAGACCUGUGAAUGUAACAUUGGGAACACUUUGUCGGUUUCACUACCCAGGAAUGGUCACUAUUGGAGGUGUGCUUCAGCUUGCAUUGAAGUGGGAGCACUAUAAGCUGCAAUUGGAUGAUCAGGGCGUCACGACUGCAGCGAGGGUUUGGAAUGAGUUCUGGAAGAGGUAUCGUUUACCAGAGGGGGAGGAGCAGUGCCUACAAGCUAGGGCUCGUUCUGUGUUUGACAAGGCACCGACGAAGGUGGUUAGGGACAUGAUGUCCAAUGCUCGUAUACAGUGUGUUUCCUUAUACUAAAAAAAUAAAGCUGCAAGACAUGAACAAGAAACUGGGCGCUUUUGAGAUAUAUCUCCGAGAGGAUGAAUAUCUUCAAGUUGAUAUUAGCGGUUUGCCUUGGUUGAGAAAGUGUCUAGAUGCUUGGCGAGCACUUUGUGCUUAUUGGGCUUCACCCAGCUUCGUGGAAAAAUCCAAAAUGAAGAGAGCUAAUCGACAAGAAGGCCCACAGGUUACAUAAAGAUAUGGGGCUGAUGGACACCUUCGUUUCGCUCGUCGAAUGGAGGCACAAAGUGGGGUGGCCCCAAGCUAUAUUGAGACAUACAUUCGAGGCCACU